AUUAGAGUUUGAUCCUGGCUCAGAACGAACGCUGGCGGCGCGCCUAAUACAUGCAAGUCGAGCGAGAAGGUGUAGCAAUACACUUGUAAAGCGGCGAACGGGUGAGGAAUACAUGGGUAAUCUACCAUCGAGUGGGGAAUAACCAGCCGAAAGGUUGGCUAAUACCGCGUACGCCUCCGAGUCUUCGGGUUCGGAGGGAAAGCUGCACUGUGAGUGUAGCGCUCUUUGAUGAGCUCAUGUCCUAUCAGCUUGUUGGUAGGGUAACGGCCUACCAAGGCUUUGACGGGUAGCUGGUCUGAGAGGACGAUCAGCCACACUGGCACUGAGACACGGUCCAGACUCCUACGGGAGGCAGCAGUGAGGAAUAUUGGUCAAUGGGAGCAAUCCCGAACCAGCGACGCCGCGUGUGGGAUGACGGGGCUAUGCCCUGUAAACCACUGUCGGAUGGGACGAAAAGCAGGCUUCACCUGCCGGGACGGUACCAUCAAAGGAAGGAUCGGCUAACUACGUGCCAGCAGCCGCGGUAAUAAU
rnacentral:rRNA from 1 species